AUAGUACUCCCUCCGAUCCAUAUUACUUGUCGCUCAAACGGAUGUAUCUAGACGUACUAGAUACAUCUGUUUGAGCGACAAGUAAUAUGGAUCGGAGGGAGUAUUUA
rfam:Triticum aestivum genome assembly, contig: Triticum_aestivum_CS42_TGACv1_scaffold_434288_5DL